GUAAGUCCUUGCCUUAACAGAAACAACUCCGAGCUGAGCACUUAGAAACACUUCAAAAACUGGAGAUGUUUUUACAGUUAAACCUCGUCUGGAAUUCAUUUAAAAUAAUCAUGUUUACAUGGAAGUGAAUUAGUGCGCUGAGCUCUGCCAAUGCCUCGCUGCAGCUAAGGGUGUGCAGCCAAGAGCCGUACCGGUGCUGGUUCUGUCCCUGCCUGCUGCACUGCAGGACCCUCGGAGGGAUGAAUGGAGAGAGUGAAUGGAACCAAGCCAAAGCAUAGCAGUGGCUGCGGGCUUUGGCUAUGGAUGGGACCAGCUGGUGACCUCUUUGGUAGGGCAUGGCCAGGAUGCUUCUGCAAGGAGACGUGGCUGGGAACCCAAAAUCCCUCUCCUGCCCGUGCCCCAGCCCCUUCCUGCAAACACUUCUUACCAAGCAGCCAGAAUUGUCUGGAAAGCGCUCCUUGUGAGAGACGAACUGGAUCUUGAGCUCUCACCUCGGAGGCUCUAUUUGAGAGUACGCGCAGAGCAAGGGACUGCUCCUGCCUGGGAGAGGGACAUGGGCAGAGGAUGGAAAGGAUGGAGAGAAGACACAAGGAUGGCACCAGGGACAUCCUCAGCUGUUACUUAGCCAGACCUAAAGCCAGAAGCAGAAGGAAACAGGCGAGCGCUUUCCAAGCCACAUGCUCUGCGUGCAGAUCAAAGCAAAACCUCCCCCCUCCUUCACAGGGGGUUGAUUUGACGUGGUUCUCCAGCUGUGAGCUGCUGUCGAGAGGUGCUCAGGACCAGAGCGGGGCUGUGUUUGGUGCUCUGACUGAUGGGCAACACGGCUGCAAAACCCCAGCCCCGCCGUGACCCAGCGCGUGGGUUUUGGAUAGGGCAGAAGCUCAGAGCAGGUGGUGGGCAUCCUCUGUGCCUUGCUCCAUCCUGGGGACUGCAUGCUGUCUGCAUGCUGCUGCCAGAUCCCUGCCACGGGCACCAAUAUGCUGGACCAGAAUACCAACGAGUAUACUCCAGUUGCCCUGUUGCAUUCAGCCUGCCCCACUGGGCAACAUCUCUGCAAACCAUCCGUAGCCCAGUCAGUCCCUUAUCCCUCGGGCUUUCACUGAACCCUUUUGUCCGAACCCUUUCCCAAGGCUAUAUGAGCUCUUCGCAUUCUGCUGCUCCUUUUUCCCCAGGAGAGUUUCCUUGAGGACCAUCCACCCCCAAAGACAAUGUCAUCCCCAAACCUGCUCAACCAACUGCCCUACAAACCACCAUCACUGUGGGACAGAGAGCUGGGCUCGUCCUUCAGCAGCCUAUGCUGACCACAGCACUAGGGCCAACUAGAGUGGCCCAAACCCAUGGAAUAACUCAUUUACC
ensembl:lncRNA